AGCAAGAGCCCGGAGAUGGAUUCUGAGACAUGAAUCCAGGCCCUACGGGGCGCAGCAGGCGCGAAAACUUUACAAUGCGGGAAACCGUGAUAAGGGGACACCGAGUGCUAGCAUCAUAUGCUAGCUGUCCAGGUGUGUAAAAUACACCUGUUAGCAAGGGCCGGGCAAGACCGGUGCCAGCCGCCGCGGUAACACCGGCGGCCCGAGUGGUGAUCGUGAUUAUUGGGUCUAAAGGGUCCGUAGCCGGUUUGGUCAGUCCUCCGGGAAAUCUGAUAGCUCAACUAUUAGGCUUUCGGGGGAUACUGCCAGACUUGGAACCGGGAGAGGUAAGAGGUACUACAGGGGUAGGAGUGAAAUCUUGUAAUCCCUGUGGGACCACCUGUGGCGAAGGCGUCUUACCAGAACGGGUUCGACGGUGAGGGACGAAAGCUGGG
rnacentral:rRNA from 1 species